rnacentral:piRNA from 1 species
UGGGCCAUAGAUGUAUCAGUUGGAGCUGAGU